rnacentral:rRNA from 1 species
GACGUAGGGCGCGAGCGUUGUCCGGAAUUAUUGGGCGUAAAGAGCUCGUAGGCGGUCUGUCGCGUCGGCUGUGAAAACUCGGGGCUCAACCCCGAGCCUGCAGUGGGUACGGGCAGACUAGAGUGCGGUAGGGGGAGACUGGAAUUCCUGGUGUAGCGGUGAAAUGCGCAGAUAUCAGGAGGAACACCGGUGGCGAAGGCGGUUCUCGUGGGCAUGGACCUGACGCUGAGGAGCGAAAGUGUGGGGAGCGAACAGG